rnacentral:rRNA from 1 species
UACGUAGGGGGCUAGCGUUGUCCGGAAUCAUUGGGCGUAAAGCGCGUGUAGGCGGCCCGGUAAGUCCGCUGUGAAAGUCGGGGGCUCAACCCUCGGAUGCCGGUGGAUACUGUCGGGCUCGAGUACGGAAGAGGCGAGUGGAAUUCCUGGUGUAGCGGUGAAAUGCGCAGAUAUCAGGAGGAAUACCGAUUGCGAAGGCAGCUCGCUGGGACGUCACUGACGCUGAGGCGCGAAAGCGUGGGGAGCGAACAGG